rnacentral:rRNA from 1 species
AGGUAAGCUACUAAGAGCGAAUGGUGGAUGCCUUGACUGGUAGAGGCGAUGAAGGACGUACUAGACUGCGAUAAGCUAGGUGGAGCUGUCAAGAAGCUUUGAUGCCUAGAUUUCCGAAUGGGGCAACCCAGUAUAUAGAGAUAUAUACUACCAUAAUGGAGCGAACGAGGGGAAUUGAAACAUCUUAGUACCCUCAGGAAAAGAAAUCAAACGAGAUUGCGUCAGUAGCGGCGAGCGAAAGCGUAAGAGGGCAAACCCAGUGCUUGCACUGGGGGUUGUAGGACUGCAAUGUGCAAAAGGAAAGGUUAGCAGAACACUCUGGAAAGUGUAGCCAUAGAGGGUGAUAGUCCCGUAUGCAAAAACCUAACCUUAGCUAGCAGUAUCCUGAGUAGGGCGGGACACGAGAAAUCCUGUCUGAAGCUGGGUAGACCACUAUCCAACCCUAAAUACUACUACCAGAUCGAUAGCGAACAAGUACCGUGAGGGAAAGGUGAAAAGAACGGCGGUGAGCCGAGUGAAAUAGAACCUGAAACCAUUUGCUUACAAUCAUUCAGAGCACUAUGUAGCAAUACAGUGUGAUGGACUGCCUUUUGCAUAAUGAGCCUGCGAGUUGUGGUGUCUGGCAAGGUUAAGCUAACGCGAAGCCGUAGCGAAAGCGAGUCUGAAUAGGGCGCUAAGUCAGAUGCUGCAGACCCGAAACGAAGUGAUCUAUCCAUGAGCAGGUUGAAGCUAGUGUAAGAACUAGUGGAGGACCGAACCCGCUAGCGUUGAAAAGCUAUGGGAUGACUUGUGGAUAGGGGUGAAAGGCCAAUCAAACUUCGUGAUAGCUGGUUCUCUCCGAAAUAUAUUUAGGUAUAGCGUUGUGUCGUAACUAAAGGGGGUAGAGCACUGAAUGGGCUAGGGCAUACACCAAUGUACCAAACCCUAUCAAACUCCGAAUACCUUUAGUGUAAUCACAGCAGUCAGGCGGCGAGUGAUAAAAUCCGUCGUCAAGAGGGAAACAACCCAGACUAACAGCUAAGGUCCCCAAAUCUUACUUAAGUGGAAAACGAUGUGAAGUUACUUAAACAACCAGGAGGUUGGCUUAGAAGCAGCCAUCCUUUAAAGAAAGCGUAAUAGCUCACUGGUCUAGUGAUUUUGCGCGGAAAAUAUAACGGGGCUA